rnacentral:rRNA from 1 species
GUGGGGAAUAUUGGACAAUGGGCGCAAGCCUGAUCCAGCCAUGCCGCGUGAGUGAUGAAGGCCUUAGGGUUGUAAAGCUCUUUUGUCCGGGAAGAUAAUGACUGUACCGGAAGAAUAAGCCCCGGCUAACUUCGUGCCAGCAGCCGCGGUAAUACGAAGGGGGCUAGCGUUGUUCGGAAUCACUGGGCGUACAGCGCACGUAGGCGGACCAUUAAGUCAGGGGUGAAAGCCUGGAGCUCAACUCCAGAACUGCCUUUGAUACUGAUGGUCUAGAGUAUGGAAGAGGUUGGUGGAACUGCGAGUGUAGAGGUGAAAUUCGUAGAUAUUCGCAAGAACACCGGUGGCGAAGGCGGCCAACUGGUCCAUUACUGACGCUGAGGUGCGAAAGCGUGGGGAGCAAACAGGAUUAGAAACCCUGGUAGUCC